UCCUAGCCCAGUUUGACACUUUCUCGGUAGUUGGCCGGAACAGAACACUCCUGUUGGUUGGCUUAAGCCAUGGACAGAAGAUGGAGUGAUUACGAUAAAUCCAGCUGGUUUGCGGUAAGGAAAGCACCAGAAAAUCUCAGUUCCUUCAGAAGAUUAUACCAUUGUGAAGCUGAAAUAGAGAUAUUCUCGAGCUCUCGGGUACCGAUUUAUUUAGCAUGCUGGUUUCUCUUUUUCAAGAAUUAGUUACAUGCCCGAGCAGAAGAGAAGCUUAUGAUAGCGAAAACUCGAGGCCGGUGUAUGAGGAAUAAGAUACGAGAGCGAGCUUUCGAGGCAAUUCCAGCUUAAGACUAAUGAGCGGGCUAGAGAGAGUGAUGAUAAAACACAUGAAAAAAAAUGGGAAAUUUUCCAUAUCACCCUCUUACAUCUUUGAUGGGAUCUCCGUUAUAACCAAGUUUGUCGCAUAUAUUCCGUGACUUGGUCUGUUUGAUAACGUGCACCGGCACGCGUGCAUGCAUGCAUGUAUGUAUGAUCCUCUUAACCAUGUGUUUACGUGUGUGUGUGUGUGUGUGUAUGUAUAUGUCAUAUGCUACUUUAUUGUCAAGAAAUGAUCAGAGAUGGAAAAUCACGUUUGAUCUCA